rnacentral:tRNA from 1 species
AAAAAAAUAGUUUAAAUUUCAAUAACAUUAAUUUGUCAAAUUAAAAAUUUUUUUUUUA